rnacentral:rRNA from 1 species
ACGGAAGUCGUUUUAUCUAAACUAAUAUGGAAUUAGAUUUAUUUAAUGAAGUAAAGGUAGAAAUAAAACAAUGGCUUUAGUGGCGGACUGGUGAGUAACACGUGAACAAUCUACCUAUUAGAGUGGAACAACAAUGAGAAAUCAUUGCUAAUACCGCAUACUCUAGUUUUAUCGCAUGAUGAGAUUAGGAAAGGAGUAAUCCGCUAAUAGAUGAGUUUGCGACUGAUUAGCUAGUUGGUAAGGUAAUGGCUUACCAAGGCAACGAUCGGUAGCCGAGUUGAGAGACUGAACGGCCACAUUGGGACUGAGAUACGGCCCAGACUCCUACGGGAGGCAGCAGUCGGGAAUAUUGCGCAAUGGAGGAAACUCUGACGCAGUGACGCCGCGUAUAGGAAGAAGGUUUUCGGAUUGUAAACUAUUGUCGUUAGGGAAGAAAAAAGACAGUACCUAAGGAGGAAGCUCCGGCUAACUAUGUGCCAGCAGCCGCGGUAAUACAUAGGGAGCAAGCGUUAUCCGGAAUUAUUGGGUGUAAAGGGUGCGUAGAUGGGAGUACAAGU